UACAGAGGGUGCAAGCGUUAAUCGGAAUUACUGGGCGUAAAGCGCACGUAGGCGGUUUUUUAAGUCAGAUGUGAAAGCCCCGGGCUCAACCUGGGAAUUGCAUUUGAAACUGGGAAACUAGAGUGUGUGAGAGGGGGGUAGAAUUCCAAGUGUAGCGGUGAAAUGCGUAGAGAUUUGGAGGAAUACCAGUGGCGAAGGCGGCCCCCUGGCACAAUACUGACGCUCAGGUGCGAAAGCGUGGGGAGCAAACAGG
rnacentral:rRNA from 1 species